UCUAUCCGUUUAUUGAGACGAUUUUGACUAGAAGAAUAAAGUAAGGUUUAGACAAUAGACAUCAUGCAUGGUUUCUGGUUGCGUUUUGUUUUUAGCACAUAUAUGUCUUGUCAAUUAUUAUAAAUAAGUACCUAAGUAACAUUUUCAGAAAGAUCUUUUACAGUGAAGUUAGAAAGUACAUUGUAUUAUUAUUAUUAUUUUUAACAUUGCGUGCACAUGGUAAACGAAUCAAUUGUAUAGGAAAUGUAUACAUAAUUAAUGCAAUCUUUUGUUUUAGUGGUAAAAUAAUUUAAAUUGAACGCUUGUUUAUUAAAAAAGAACAAAACAAAAUAAAUAAUGAUAAUAAUAAUUACAAUAGUAAAUAAAUUUAAAGAAUUCCUUGUAGGUGGCUUUGUAUUAUUUUAAAUCGAUUCAAAUCCAAUAUUCCAAAAAAAAUAUUUCUUUAAUAUGAAAAAUUAAUGUUAUAUUUUUAAAAAUUAUCUUUUAUCGGAAAUCGCUGAACUUUACAGUCACUAUAAUGAUUGGGGCCCAUUUAUUGUUAUAGCCUCUUCUUCCGGUCCGGCUGCAGUUUGAAGUAGAGAAUUAAGUGGCUUCUAACGGGUCGCAUAUUUGUAUACUGGAAUCCAUUUCGGUACCAGGCCAGUCGUGAUUGAUCUAUUCAAAUUACGUACUCGUCAUCACUUUUAUUUUAAGU